GACGAACGCUGGCGGCGUGCUUAACACAUGCAAGUCGAACGGUGAACCUCUUCGGAGGGGAUCAGUGGCGAACGGGUGAGUAACACGUGGGCAACCUGCCCCCGGCUCUGGGAUAACUCCAAGAAAUUGGGGCUAAUACCGGAUGUUCACCGCUUCCCGCAUGGGUGGUGGUGCAAAGGGUUUCCGGCUGGGGAUGGGCCCGCGGCCUAUCAGCUUGUUGGUGGGGUAGUGGCCUACCAAGGCGACGACGGGUAGCCGGCCUGAGAGGGUGACCGGCCACACUGGGACUGAGACACGGCCCAGACUCCUACGGGAGGCAGCAGUGGGGAAUAUUGCGCAAUGGGCGGAAGCCUGACGCAGCGACGCCGCGUGGGGGAUGACGGCCUUCGGGUUGUAGACCUCUUUCAGCAGGGACGAAGCGCAAGUGACGGUACCUGCAGAAGAAGCACCGGCCAACUACGUG
rnacentral:rRNA from 1 species